UGUUUGCGUAUUUGUUUUAGGGCAGAUCGAGUGUGACUUAGGUAAUAUGAUUGCAUUCGCAGGAAUUCACAGAGAUGAAAACACAGAUCUGAGAUCGUGCCAGAACGCAUAAGAAGUUCCCAAUGCAUAAGAGUAGAGCACGAGAACGCUAAAACGUUCAGAGUUGCAUCUUGUGUCGAUGAGGAACUCAGAAGUGUUCUCCUUUCUGGGCUUUUUGACCCAUCCAAGACGAUAAAGCAGGUUCUCGAUCAUCUCUCCCCCAUCUUAUCUUGCUUCUUUUGCCUCCUUUUUAUCAUCACCAAAUACUUUGAGCAGCUGUAGGUGUUAUGGGUUAAAUAGUUUCUGGGUGGUUGGCCAUUUGGCCAGAGGGCAUCUGAGCAUCACCUGUGGUCAGCACUUUUUGGCUCAUGCGCGUUAGCAGUUUGGGACGUCAUAGGGAAUCCCCGAGGACAGAUGAGGUGGGGGAAGAGGCCAUACAUUUGGGCUUUCGUGCAUGUCAGGGUGGGGCUAAGUUGGAAACGUGGUAAUGAGGGAAGAUUUCCUAGAGAGACCGAUAGUGCCCAGGAUCCUGUGCCGGCAAUGGCUGCCACUUUCUGGCUGGGUGAUCAUGGGCAUAGCUGAGAAUAUAAAAAGUGUGAAUAAAUGAACAUGGUGUUGGAGAGAAGAGAAACAUUAUGUGCUAUUCCAUCGGCAACGGGAGAUGCCUGUUUCGUGAGAUUGCGGUGCAGGUCACAAAAUGCUGACUCGGGAAAUCACAGACGACGGUUGGCCGACUUUCCCACCCGCAGACCGAGGGUCCCACCCCGCGCGUGGCCCUCUGGCAUUCCGCCGGAUUCUUUGGAGCCAGUGCUGCCUUGGUGGGUGUGAGGUUCUUAUCUGCAACCUUGGGAAAUCCGAGUUUUCUCUCUUCCAGGAAAGAAGCAAGUGUGAAAGUAAGAAAAAGGAAGGAAUGUGUGUUCAAGGACUCACGGAAGAGAGACCUUCCAGAAGACACUGCAUCGGCUACUCUGAAAGACCCAACAGGAUGAAGACCAAGAGAAAGAAAGGAGGAAGCCACCGAUGACCUCGCCUUUCUUGGGGGAAACGUUUAUUUAUCACCGUUUAUCUCCAGCCACCUUUGUCUCUCAGCCCAGACCCACAUUUUCCAUGGCCUCCUCCUGAACAUCAUUGCCUUGCUAUUCCUUGGCUAGUUCAAGCUUAGCAUACCCCAAACAGAGCUCCACCCCUUCACUCCAGCCCCCCCAGCCCCUGAUCAGACAGAUAGACACCAGACUCAUUCACCUGUUUUCUCCAUCCUCCUUGGUUACGUCACCAUCCACCCUCAUCCACUGAGUAGCAUUCCAGAAUCUUCCCUUCCUCUCCCGGUGCACGUUUAGAUGACCCUUUAAAUAUCUCUUUGGCUAAUCUCUCCUCUCUAACCUCGAGGCUACAGCCUUAGGCCUUCCUCAUCUCUUAUCUAGACCAGCUCACCACCACCUUACCCCUGGUCCUCCCACUCUUAACCCGCCCUCCACACCUUCACACACUCUGAAUGCCUUUGGACCAUUUGCCUGACACAUAACACCCCAUUCCCAUUCUCCCCAGAAAAAAAGUCUUCCUUCUUUAAAAUAUCGCAAAUAAUAAGACAGUGAACAUGUGUGUCGAUACGACUCACUUUAAUCAUUCAGAUUAUUUCCUAGAGAUAAAUUCCCAGGGUUGAAGGCUGUGGAUAUUGGUAUCUAUCAACACUUUCACACAUCUGAAACUGAACACGAACACACCUCCCACCUGCCCGCCCCCCCUUUUGGUCUCCAUCUUACGUGUCUUUUUUAAAAAAAACUUAAUUUUUGUGCCAUGACUCUGCUUGGAUUUUUUCUUCUCUUCUAAAUCAGGUCCCAGUGAUCUUUUUAUCGAGACAAAUUAUUUUGGUUUUAAAGCAGUAUGUGUCGAGGCCCCUUCCUCCCCCCUUUCUUUGUGUUUUGCUUUUGCUUUUGCACACACACUGCUUCGGGUUAGAAGAACUUUUUUGUAACUGACAGGCAUCUCACGACUUCUGUCAUGUGGCAACUUCUCCCCAGGGAACU
rnacentral:lncRNA from 1 species